GGGGUGGUUUGUAUAGGGGUGGGUGGGCUUACGAGGGAGGGGUGAUGGUGAAGGGGAAGGAGAAGGUGGGUAGGAGUGAAGAGAAGAGAGGAGAGUAGGAGUGAAGAGAAGAGGGAAGGAGAAAGUAAAGAGAGAGGGAGAGAGAGAGAGAGAGAGAGAGAGAAA